rnacentral:rRNA from 1 species
GGGAGUGAAAAAGAACCUGAAACCGUGUACGUACAAGCAGUGGGAGCACCCUUUGGGGUGUGACUGCGUACCUUUUGUAUAAUGGGUCAGCGACUUAUAUUCUGUAGCAAGGUUAACCGCAUAGGGGAGCCGUAGGGAAACCGAGUCUUAACCGGGCGUUAAGUUGCAGGGUAUAGACCCGAAACCCGGUGAUCUAGCCAUGGGCAGGUUGAAGGUUGGGUAACACUAACUGGAGGACCKAA